GAUGAACGCUAGCUACAGGCUUAACACAUGCAAGUCGAGGGGUAACGAGAGGAAAGCUUGCUUUCCUUGUCGACGACCGGCGCACGGGUGAGUAACGCGUAUCCAACCUGCCCCCAACUAGGGAAUAACCCUGCGAAAGUAAGACUAAUACCCUAUAAUUUCCUCAGAUGUCAUCUGACGAGGAAUAAAGAUUUAUCGGUUGUGGAUGGGGAUGCGUCUGAUUAGCUUGUUGGCGGGGUAACGGCCCACCAAGGCAACGAUCAGUAGGGGUUCUGCGAGGAAGGUCCCCGUCAGUGGAACUGAGACACGGUCCAAACUCCUACGGGAGGCGGCAGUGAGGAAUAAUCGUCAAUGGGCGGAAGCCUGAACCAGCCAAGUAGCCUGCAGGAUGACGGCCCUAUGGGUUGUAAACUGCUUUUAUACAGGAAUAAAGUUAGCCACGUGUGGUUAUUUGUAGGUACUGUAUGAAUAAGGACCGGCUAAUUCCGUGCCAGCCGCCGCUGUAA
rnacentral:rRNA from 1 species